GAUGAAGAACGUAGCGAAAUGCGAUAAGUAAUGUGAAUUGCAGAAUUCAGUGAAUCAUCGAAUCUUUGAACGCACAUUGCGCCCGCCAGUAUUCUGGCGGGCAUGCCUGUUCGAGCGUCAUUUCAACCAUCAAGCCCCAGGCUUGUGUUGGGGACCUGCGGCUGCCCGCAGGCCCUGAAAACCAGUGGCGGGCUCGCUAGUCACACCGAGCGCAGUAAUACAUCUCGCUUUGGGCGUGCGGCGGGUUCUUGCCGUUAAACACCCCCUUUUUACCAAGGUUGACCUCGGAUCAGGUAGGAAUACCCGCUGAACUUAAGCAUAUCAAUAAGCGGAGGA
rnacentral:misc_RNA from 1 species